ensembl:lncRNA
GGGUUUUACAGUAAGAAAUAUAACUUUUUUCUACUCGGAUUUUAAAUUUUUUAUCUGAAUUUAGAUCAACUGUGCUAAUAUAGUAUACCAAAAUGAAAAAAAUAACUCAAAUUUCAGAUAUUUGAGGUUGUGCUGAAAAUAAUGAUACCAAACAAGGCAAGAAAAACAUGUUUUAAAAGUGAAAUAUAGACAUAAAAUCAAAAGUAGUCAAAAAUGGCCAAUUAUACCCUGGACCCCAGAGGGUUAAAAACUAAAAGGUAUAACAAUGUAGUUAUGCAAUGUGACCACGAGAUGUUAAAUAUACUGAUCACACAACUGUCACUGUAAUGUCCUGAAAAAUAAAUUGAGAAAAAUGAAACGCAUAAUUGUUUAUUCAUAUAUUUUAUGAAUAACUGACAAACAAAUGAUAAUAGUAAGAAUCAUACUGACCCCCCACCCCCCCAAAAAAGAACAACAAAGAAAACAAAUGGAUAAUGGAUAUUUGUGUCAGCACUGAGCUCAGUCUCCACAGUGCUGCAGUCUCCCAGUCUUAUUUUAUAAUUGAGUCCCAGAGUUAUAGACGUCAAAUCUACAGGACGAAUGAACAUUGAUGGUAAAAUCCUCUGACUGUUUUGAGAGAACAUGUAUAAAAGUGAACAGGAGGUUGCAUUUAGAGGUGAUUUUUAAGGCCACGAGCUCUGGGAAAGACCUUUUCUGAUGUAGAAAUCUUAUAACUCAAGUUUUUGAGUUCAUCCAUCAUCCAGCCAUGCUUCACAAAGUCCCAGGUGGUAGUAAAGGAAUUUUCAUUGAUUACUGCUUAUUAUACUUGACUCUUUGAACCCUUAAGGUGACAGUAGUCUUUCCUCGGUGAUGUAGAAAUAUAGAUUAAUAGGUUCAUAGCUGAGCCAUUUUUAUUUAUUCAGUCCAUUUAGAUCUUAUUUAAUAUUACUAAAUGAGGACAAUGAAAGUGGAAAGUCGGUCGCAGAUGGUAAUUCUCCUCACUCAGUCUGCAGAUAAAUAAAAAAAAUAUGUGCAUCUUACAAACUGUCAGAAAAUAUCAUUUCUCGACAUUGUAUUAGUGUAGUAUAUUGGUAGAAAUCUCCAAAUUCUUGGUAAGAUAUUUACCUGAGCUGUGAGAUGUAAGGCAGACACUGCAGGAAACUCCUCACUUCACUCUCUUCAUGUGAGCAGCCUGUCAGCUCCACCUGUUUCUUCUCUGGUUGGAGUUUCAGCACUUCCAGGAGGAUGGAGGUCUUUCUCUCUGAGAGGUUUAUGGACCAGACUGCAGGAGUGGACUGGAAAACUGACUGUAAUGAUGGAAGGACACUCAAGCCUGUUUUAGUCUCAUAAGAGUACAGGUCCAUGAGGAAAUCACACCAUUUGCCUUUGAGAGGAAAUCCUUUAUAUCUGCACACUGAUGAUAACAGCUCCAGUAUCUUCUCUCCUGUCCUCUGUUCUCUCUCUGCUGCUGCACGGAACAGAUUCCCAAAGAACCUGACUGCUUCAUCUAACUUCCAUGGAAUAACUCUGGAACAAUAAGAAGAAAACAUUUAGUUAUGGGUUGAUCUGAGCUACAUAAAUACAACCACACACUCCAUCUUGUCCAUGUGUAAAUGUUCUCAUGAGUGCGACUGAUGUGUAAAGUGUUCAAAAUAUCCGUUAGAUAACUGGUUAUCCAUGAUCUCAAGUCGGAGAAUGUGGAUGUGGUGAAGAUGGGGACAAUUCUUUUUUUUCUUUUUUUUUGGCGGGGGGCAAAGAAUUUUCAGGGGAUGAAGUCCUGGGUAAGAGACCAUACAAACAGCAAUUCGGAAAACCCCUGUGAGUAGAAGAUUUAACGAAUAGUUCAUCCCGCGGAAAGGAAAGUGCCUGGUGGCCUGGCCUUAGACCAGGCACAGCCCAAAGAAGGGACAUUGCCCCCCCCCCCCCCCCCCCCCUUCCUGUAGGCCCACCACCUGCAGGAGUCACCGUAAGGGUCAGGUGAAUGGUAAAAAUGGUAAAUGGCCUGCAUUUGUAUAGCGCUUUUCUAGUCCCUAAGGACCCCAAAGCGCUUCACACUACAUUCAGUCAUUCACACACUGGUGAAGUGCAUACUGGGUGAUGGCCAGGGGUAGAGACAGA